rnacentral:lncRNA from 1 species
CUGCCCCACGCCCGUCUCCGCCCGCGGGUCCCCUGCCCGCCAGCGACCGGGAGCCUUCCGUGGGGCGGGCGCCCCCUAGUGGCCUCCUGCGGAAAUGCACCCCGGUCUGAACCCAGCUGUGCCGCGCUGAGCUGCGCCUCCUGGAACUGUGGGUGUGGACAGGAGGUGCCAGGCCCCACACAGCUGCAGGGGCCGGGCUGCUACUCCCACCCGCCAGUAUUCCCCUGGAAGUGAGACCACAUCUGAAACUUCAUCACCACCAGUUGGCAGAGUCCUGCUCUUCAGCUUAGACUGACCUGGAAGUCCCUAUGUAGCCCAGGUUGGCCUCAAACUGGAGAUCCUCUUGCCUCAGCCUCCUGAGUACAGGGAUCACAGCAGCCACAGAGCUGAGCAGAGCCAAGUCCUUGGAGCCGCGCAGGGCAGUGACAGCAUCCCACAGAGGGGCACAGGGAGGCCGAGGACACGGCAGCAGGCCCACCGAGGGACGCCACCCCGUCCCCAGGAUACGGCCGGCCACAUUCGGACGGUGCUGGCAGUGCCAGGCCCGCCGGCUCCCUGUGCCAGCCGCUGCACCACACAGCCUCCCUGGGGGGCCCACCCACCACAGCCCCCACGGGGCAUGGGGCGCCUGGAAAAUGGAUCUCAGGGACAGAGAGCAGGUUCUGCACCUUCGGGUUACGGGCAGUUCUUACCUUUUGCUUUGUGGCUGUUUCCCUGGUAUUUGACAAGAAGUGUUCUUUUCGAGAAAAAAUG